rnacentral:lncRNA from 1 species
CCGAAAAUUUAUUUUUGAUAUUUUUUAUGAAAAAUAUUUUUUUUGCUUGUUUGGUUCGGUUACAAAUAGCUUUCAGCACAAGUAUUUUUACUUAUUUGAGAAAAAAAAAAAAAAGAAGAUUUUGUUUUUCCGUGUUUUUCGGGCAGAAAACAAAAACUUAAGCUGUGUAAAUUUUUUUUUGUCCAAAGAACAAAUCAAUGUGAUUUUCUUUUCAAUCAAACAAAUAUUGAUAAAAAAUUAUUUUUUAUCUGGAUUAAUUUCAUACGGGCCUCUAUAAAUAAGUGAAUUAUAAAUAUAUCUCUACAAAAUUCGACUUUCAUAUAUUGUUCGUGCAAAAGUUCUAAUAUUUUCAAAUAUAUCUUUGCCGUUAGGAUCCAUUAGAAAAAAAUUAAUUAACAAUAAAUAAAAUACUUAAUCCUAAUUAAUUAAUGAGGUGAAUUAAUCUUUUUACCCAUCUUUAAUUAACAGUUGGGAUUUUUGGAGGAAUAAAUUUGUGAUAUAAAAAAUAUCAUUUCACUUAUGAAAUAGACAGUACUUUAACGAUAACAAACUAUAGAAACAUACUUGAAAAUAUUAAAACUUUUAUAGUAACAACAUAUGAAAGUUAACCUUUAUAGGGAUAUAGCUGUAAUUCACUAUAUUUAUACAGAUUUGUAUGAAAUUAAUUUUUUUUUAUCUACAAAUCAAAUACUAUAAAACAUAAAACUUUUUUUAUCAUAAUUUUUUUAAUGAUACUUUAUUUUUCAUAA